UAAUUUAAGAGAUUAUUGAACAGUGUGCGCAAGUGGCUGAAUCUAAAUUGAUAAAAUUAUUAGUUUUCUUCAGUUUUGUAGAAGAAAAUUGACAUUUUCUGAUAGACGAACAUUUCCGUCAAUGUUUCUUCGCACUGCUGCCGCCAAAAGAACGUUUUUUUGCACAAAACAAGCGAUUUUUUAACUGGGAACAUUCUAACGUUUAUUGUUGUCAAACGGUGACCCUAAAAGUCAUGCAGAACAUUUUCUACAUUCAACUUCAAGUGCAGAAAACUUUGUAUUUCCUCAUUUAAAGACCCAGACUGGCAGCCGAGGAACGCACCCAUAACUAUUAGGAGGAUUCAUUGGCGAAACGUGCAGAUAUUAAUUAAUAAACAAUUUUUUAUUAAUGAUUAACUAAUUGAUGUAUUUUGGUGGUUUGGAGAACAAAAUGCUGUCUAGGAAGUUGACUGUUUUAAAAUUCGAUUGCUUCUUGAUACUCAUUUAAAAACUUACUUAACUCGCAAAUGUUCUCAAUAAGUGGCAUGUAAAUGUCUUACAAGUAAGGUCGUCGGACUUAAGCGACGACGUUCUAGUUGCAUAAAAGUACCUAAAUCAGUGAAAUAAGAGAAAUUCAUUAAGUUUAAUUUGAUGGCUACAGUUUGGGUUAAGAGAGCAGAUCUGACGACUUUACCGCCGACCUUAUAAGGAAACCCUAAAAUUUCAAAAUCAUUUACCCCAGAUUACUCGUAUGCAUUAAGCAAUAGAAUGUACACCUACAGGGUGAUUCAGAGGAGGCAAUCGAAUUUCCAGGGAUUGUUCAGAACAGAAAUUUAUGAAACAUUGUGAAGCUCAACUGGUGAGUUUUGGACACUAAAUGCCCGAAAAACUCACCAGUUUGAAUAUGUGUGGAAACCCGAUAAAACAUAUCGCUUAGAAGUAUGAUUUCAUACUUUUGAAUCACACUGUUUACGCAAUAAAACACUGUCAGUAGUACUUUUCGAAACAUUUUUUAUUUAUUAUGUAAAAAAUAAAACAAUAGAGAAAACAUGUAGGUUUUAGCAAAUUAAAAUAGUUAACAAGUUUAUGAAAAUAAGCUCUAUGCAAUGCAACAUCAACGGCCUGAUGUAAAUAAAAUUUUGACUUAAAACAAUGAUAAAAUUAUACAUAAAUAAAACAAUAUGGACCGACAUUGUUAAACCACCACACCGAUUCUUCAUAUGCGUAUCUCACUUUGAGUAUUAUU